rnacentral:lncRNA from 1 species
CAGCCCUUCAUGCCGAGGACAGGCAGCCUUGGUGACUUCAAACUUCUGCUCAUCCCGUUGAGGCUCAAAGUCACAGCAUGCUGGCUUUAGAGCAUCCUCAGUGUGACUCCUGCCUGUCCUUGUGAUACUCAACUCCACAUCACUGUCACAAAGUCGCUGAGGAUCAGUCUUGGCCUAUAUGAGUUCCUGCCAGAGAUGUCUGACACCACCCUACCAACCAAGAACACUGCUCUCCUCUCCCUAACAGAUCAAGGACAGAGGAGACAAAGGAGGCAGAGGAGACCCCCACCCCAAAGAAACAACAAGAUCUUCUAGAAGGACAUCCAUGACCUGGUGACUGCAGUCCAGGCCAUGUGCCCUCCACAAGCUCUCCUCUCCUCUAUUUUCUUGGGUGUUUUGUCACUCUUCAUACAACUCUGGUUCUGCCUAGCCGCUCUAUAACCUUCCCAACACUCACCACUGGUGAUUCUUCUCUAGAAAGGUCUACAAGGGGCAUAGGAACCCACGAUUGCCCACUUGAAGGAUGUUGGACCAAGAUUG